rnacentral:miRNA from 10 species
CAAGCCUAGUCUACAGUGUUCA